GACGUUUGAUACCGGUUACACAAGCCGGACUCACACACUAUAUGUUAUGUCGCCUCUAGCACUUGUCUGGACACUGCUUAACUUCCGGGUUGUCUUGUGCUAUAAAUGUCUGAAGCCGGGUGGAUCAAUUUGGUGAGAGAAAUAUAUCCGAAAAGGUAAAAAAUGAAGAUCUCCGUGGCAUUGAUUAUCGCCCUUGUAUGCGUUGUUGGACUCGCACUUGGUGAUUAUGGAUACUCGUCGUAUUACCCUUCAUCCAGUGGAAGCGGGGGAUUCGGAAAUGGCGGAUUUCUCAUGUUGAUCGGAUUCCUGUUCAUCAUACUUCUGUUGUUUGGAACUAACACUCAGGAUACCAUCACCCUUGUGAACGUAACAACUAAAUAAACGGUAAACUAUGAAUCAGCAGCGAAGGGAGCCAUCAUUGGAAUUAUCAUAUCAGUCAUCAGCAAGGUCUGUCAUGAUUUACAUGACAAUUUUACAAGAUCUACCAUGAUUUACAUGACAGAUUCACAACAUCUACCACGAUUUACAUGACAAAUUAACAAAACUUUUCUCAUCAUCGACAACAAGAAUGAAUGUUUCCUCGGUAAUAUGUGUUAUGUCUGGGAAAUGAAAAGAUGGCUGUGUGUAUGCCCGCCAGUAGUAUUAAUACACUGCACUUUAUUCAUCAGAACUACAUGUAUAUUUAUUUAAAUGUAGUUUGAAACACAUCGUAAACUGAACAGCUGAUGUACAUUUUUUCAAAUAAAGACCCAGUUAUUCUACAAAUACUUUUCUGCUGUUUCAGUGUGUUUUCGGUGUCUAUAGGGAGUGUUGCAUUGUCUUUGAAUAACUUAAAUGACACCCCUAACCUUUUAAAAACACAUGUCUUAAAAUAAUUUUGAAACCAGUUGUGUUUAAACGUUUCUAAAGAUUUACAUGUUAUAAUUAUCUGGUAAUAGAUAUUGUUGCUAAAAAAUAUUAUGGAAAAAUACUUUACUGUAAAUGUUAAUUUUAAUUGUUCAAAGGACUCAAGUUUCCCUGUAAAUAUCCAGUUGUCCAGCUAAUGCGUACAUUUUAACAAAGUUUUGCAAGAACUGUUUCGAGUAAAUAUCCAUUUUUUUCUGACAAAGUUUACUUACAGUGUCUACUGGGAGUUUUACUCAAACAUGUUUUUAAAUGUUUUAAAUGGCAUCCGUAAUUCUAAAAGUCUUAAAAUACGGGACUUCCGUAAUCCUAGUAUCUCGUUCCGUUACUCUAGACAACUGCAUGGCAGAAGUGUUACUGUUACUGUGCCAACAAGUUACGUAAGAAUCAGCAAUGAAUGUUAGUUUUGUUUUAAUCUAUUAUUUGAUUGGACUAAACUUAGAUAGUCUUUAAAGAAAGGUGCUUCUUGAAAAAGCCAUUAGUUAACCAUUUUAACAUACUUGUUGACAUAGAUAACGCUGAGAUAUUUGUAAAACGGUGCUCAAUAGAGAGAAGAUAUCAAAAUGGACGACUCAUCAGAAGUAAAUUACAAACAUUUUUUUUUCAUGAAAUAGAACAAAUUCUUUUAAAUUUUAAAAAUCAUAUACCACUAUUGUUCACAUGUAGAGGUAAAUGAUAUCUCGUGCUAUUAUUGUUUCUAUCUAUUUUAGAUUUUUUUACAUAAUUAGUUUACUGACUGCAAACAUGUUCUCUUGAACUAGAACUCCAUGAAACACAUUUUCGUUGCUAACAAAUGAAACAAAUAUCUGAAUUUUGAAAACCGUUUUGAAUAAAAUUCGCGGCAUGUCCUUUUAAAGUAAUUUCAUCAUAAAGAUGACGACAGUUUUGACACUGCUUAAAUAAUACUAAUGUAUAUUUUCUAACACAUAUUUUCUUAAAUAAAAUGUAAUAAAUAAAGGACUACCUGGUCCAAAAUUCAUACUUGAAAAUACGAACAGUUACGUAUACAUAAAAUUAACAAGUUUAUGUGUGUUCACAGUGCUAUAUGUUUUAGGUUAUAGAUAGUAUGCAUACAUAACUGAACACUUAUAAAUGUGUACCAACGCUAAGAGCAGAACUGAACACAGUAUAAAUGUGUACCAACGCUAAGAACUGAACUGAACACAGUAUAAAUGUGUACCAACGCUAAGAGCUGAACUGAACACAGUAUAAAUGUGUUCCAACGCUAACAGCUGAAGUUUUUUUACAAGCCUGUUACUGUACGAAAUUCAAUUAUGAAUAUAGCUCUAUAUAGAGAACUACUUCAUAUAUUAAUAAAGUUAAAUGUAUAUGACGAGUGUUUUCUACAGUUGAAAAAAAAAUACCUAAAGAUAAAAUGAUUUAGCGGAUAUUUUUAACCUAUCAAUAUUUUGACAUAUCUCUGAGACAGCUGUGUACAUGUUUUAGGAAUUCAAAAUUUGCACGAAAAAUAGUUGUAAUGACCUUUUUUAUUCUUUUUAUUUUUUUAUUAAAAAUAUAAAUGGACAUUUUUUUUUAAAUUUUGAAAAAUCAAAGUAAUUCGUAUUUAUUACCUAAGAAUAUAUCCAGUUCUAUUUUAUUAUUUUUUCAGUAAUAAAACUAUUCUGUGAACAAUUGUAAUAAAGUAAAGCUGAACUUUAAUACACGAUAUAAAUAUUUAGAUGGCACAUUUAAAGUGCCCUUUUUGUAUAUAUUUUGACAGUUAUGCAUCAUUAAAAAUUUGGAAAUGCAAUAAAUUUAAAACAAAUACGGUGAACUAUAUUUCUAUUGAGUUGGUUCUGAUAUUCAUCAACGUUUAAAGUCAGAAACUUAUACUAGUACUUAACCCUUACCCUGCUAAAUUUCUAUAACGAACUUGUCCAUCUUUCAAUCUGCAAAGUACCAUUAAAUGUUUAAAGGGGUGAAUCCCAAAAAGAUACUAACUGAAUGGCGAACAGUGCAGAUCUUGAUCACACUGCACGGACUACAGGCUGAUCAUGAUUUACACUGGUCGCAAAGGCAGAAUCAAUCGUGUGCAUCAUGAUAAGGGUUAAGAACGGCAAAUAUUUCAAUUUGGUUUAAUUUUUACUAUAGCAUAUUCAUACUGUUGAAAUCUUUAUGCAGUUUUCUUGCAAUAUGUGCAUCAUUGACAAGGACAGAGUAAGAUGUGAAAUUAGCUAUACGGGCUCUACAUCUACUCAAACAAUUUCAAAGAAACGGAAAAAUGUAGAAAUCGUAUAAUGUUGUAAAGACCUAUUAAGCAAAAUUUACUACUGAAAUAUUAAGCGAAAAUUACUACUGAGACAAGCUUCUGAUGUUUACGGUCUUUAACAAUCAAGUGUCUUGAUUUUUCAUGCGUGUACGAUCUGUGAUUAUUGAUUAGCCUAACGUAGAGAAUGAUUGAUUUGUCAUGUGUGGGUUUUGUUAUAAAUAUUUAAGCGAAUUCUGAAUGUUUUCGAAUAGUGUUAUUUCUAUAUUAAUUCCCUAUAGUUUUUUUUUUUUGUGUUACAGGUCGCAUUUAUCUGCUGUUAAGUCGCCCUUCGGUUUAUGUGCUUGCCUGUUGUGAAAUUGUUAUGCUUUUGUUUGCCUGCUGUUGAAUUGUUAUGCCUUUACUUUCAUGCUGUUAGAUUGUUUGUUAUGCCUGUGCUUGCCUGCUGUUGAAUUGUUAUGCCUGUGCCUGCCUUGUACUGAACAGUAAAAUAUGCAUGUUUUGUACUGCGUGCUUGUCUGCUGUUUCGUUUGCCUGCUUUUAAUGCUUUCAGAUGUAUAUGCUUCUAUGGGCAUAAAUGUAUAUGGUUGUUGAGUGUACUUGAAUAAACUAUG